ACAGAAAACGUGAGUUUUCUUCUCCUUCUACCCAUUUCAGUUUUCUUUUCACAAACAACCCACCCAUGGAUUUCUAAAUCCAAAAUGGGUUUCUUGCACAAAAUCAAACUCAUCUUCAAAUAAAAAUUCAUUUCUCAACCUAAAUCACCCAAUAACCCAUUUUUGUAAUUCAAUUUCAUCAAUUCAAUCUGGGCACAAUUGGAGCACAAUAAUGGCUAUAAAUCGCCAUGUUUACUUCCCUCAAACCACCACCAUUCCUCACUCAGUCAUCACUAACAAAAACACUCAAUCCUCCUGAGUUACCACCGGAAAACGCCACCCAAACCACCCUCAAAUUCCUCUGUUUUUCGCAACUUUCUCUCUCCUCUAUUUUCGUCCAACCACCGUAGCACCACCACCCUCCACCGACAACCACCGUCUCCAUCACCACUACCACCUGUAGCGUCGCCUGCUUCUGCGCGAACCAACAACCAUCCACCGCACCGCCACUUCUCUCUCUCGCUCAGCUUCUCCUCACUCUCUCUCGCCCAAUUCGUUCUCUCUCUCGCCCAAUUCGUUCUCUCUCUCUCCUCUGCUUGGUCUGCUGCACCGCCAGACCACCACCGUGCCACCACUACCUCCCUGCUGCCUCGCCUCACCUUCAGUCUCCGGAAGCUCCGACCCCAUUCGCUGCAGCCCUCUGCCCUCCUUGGUCGUGCUUCAUCAGUUGAAGCUAAGCAGUAUAUUAAAAGGAAGACAUAUUACAAGCCUUCCCCUACUAUCAAGGUUGUUCAGCAGGAUUCCAGGUAUGCAUACGGAGAUGGGAUGACGUAACAGUGAGGAUUAAAUUACUUUAAUGCGACUAUGACGGUUAUAUAAUCCAAGUUUAUGAUCACUAAAUUACGUAACAUUAGCUAUGCUUAAGCUAUUUACAUAUAUUUCUAGAAUUACUAUAAUUAUUAUAAAGGUUUAGUUAUAUGAAAGAAUGUUGUCUUGUACUUUCCUGUGUGGAGAGUACGGCAGUGACGCACCGACUAAGCUAGGAAGGUCUUCCGCUGCUAAUCUUUGUAAUUAAUUAACAUAAUAGUGAUGCUUAGAAGUCGGGGGGUUACACAAAGAAGGAACCAAUUACUGAGAAAACGUAAAAAGAACAAAUAACUGUGAUAUGUGCCUUGAUUUCUUGAUGAACUAGAAUUUUUUGCACGCGAUGCGUGUUUGAAUUUUUUUCGAAAUAGAAACUCGAUUUUCGUCGGCAUAAGAGUCGAAAUUUGAACAUUAGACAUACAAAGUAUCAUUGUUUUUAGUUGCAAAAUUUGAUUAGUUUAGUUUCUGUCACUUAAG